UACGGGGGGGGCAAGCGUUGUUCGGAAUUACUGGGCGUAAAGUGUGCGCAGGCGGCUGAGCAAGUCGAGUGUGAAAGCCCCGAGCUUAACUUGGGAAUUGCGCUCGAAACUACUUGGCUCGAGUGUGGCAGAGGAAGGUGGAAUUCCACGUGUAGCGGUGAAAUGCGUAGAGAUGUGGAGGAACACCGAUGGCGAAGGCAGCCUUCUGGGCCAACACUGACGCUCAUGCACGAAAGCGUGGGGAGCAAACAGG
rnacentral:rRNA from 1 species